rnacentral:rRNA from 1 species
AAAGAUUAAGCCAUGCACGUCUCAGUGUAAGCAAUUUAAACUGUGAAACUGCGGAUGGCUCAUUAGCUCAGUUAUAAUUUAUUUGAUAAUGAUUUACUACUUGGAUAACUGUUGUAAUUCAAGAGCUAAUACAUGCGUAAAGGUCCAACUCGAGAGGGAAGGACUGUGUUUAUUAGAUCGAAAACCAGCGGGGUGAGGUGGUGGUUUCGGCCAUUUCAUCUCAUCCAUUAGUUGUUGGUGAAUCAUGAUAAAUGUCGAAUCGGGUGCAAGCUCGAUGUGUCAUUCAAAUUUCUGCCCUAUCAACUGUUGAUGGUAGGAUAGGGGCCUACCAUGGUUUUGACGGGUAACGGAGAAUUAGGGUUCGAUUCCGGAGAGGGAGCCUGAGAGAUGGCUACCACUUCCAAGGAAGGCAGCAGGCGCGCAAAUUACCCAAUCCCAAUCAUCUUGGGGAGGUAGUGACAAAAAAUAAUAAUGCAGGGAUCUUAGGGUCUACUGCAAUUGUAAUGGUCCAAAUGUAAAUUGUUUGGAGAGCAGCCAUUAGAGGGCAAGUCUGGUGCCAGCAGCCGCGGUAAUUCCAGCUCUAAUAGUGUAUAUUAAAAUUGCUGCAGUUAAAAAGCUCGUAGUUGGAUUUUGGAGGAGACAGUAUACUUACAGGUUUUUCGCUACGCUUCUUCGUUCGUGAUGGUGUUCCUUCCAAAAGGCGCCGUUUGCGACGGUUGCGCGGCCCUGUCGGUUGUCUUUUCCGGUAUUUUUCGGAGUCACGUGUCUUGCUUUACUGUGGGCCAUGUGGAUUCGGAGAGUUUACUUUGAAGAAAAUGUAGUGUUCAAAGCAGGCGUUUCGCAGCUGAACACUUUAGCAUGGAAUAAUAAAAUAGGACAACUGUGUGCUUCUACCAGUUCCGGUCGGUGUACAUUUUUGCUCAUGGCACCCUGCGAAAGCAGGUGUUUUUGUUGUGUGCGGGUGUGCAUGUCUGGUCGGUUCAACGGGGGAGUUCUACGUUUAUUGUAUCCGUUUUGUUGGUUCAUGGAGCAGUUGUAAUGAUUAAUAGGGACAGUUGGGGGCAUCUGUAUUGCAUUGUCAGAGGUGAAAUUCUUGGAUUUAUGCAAGACAAACUAGUGCGAAAGCAUUUGCCAAGGAUGUUUUCAUUAAUCAAGAACGAAAGUUAGGGGAUCGAAGGCGAUCAGAAACCGCCGUAGUCUUAACCAUAAACGAUACCAUCUUGGUUUUAAAGGGUUUUGCCUAUUUAUGGCCCCGUUAGCGCCAUUAGAGAAAUCAAAGUCUCUGGGUUCUGGGGGGAGUAUGGCUGCAAAGCUGAAACUUAAAGAAAUUGACGGAAGGGCACCACCAGGUGUGGAGCCUGCGGCUUAAUUUGACUCAACACGGGGAAACUUACCAGGUCCGGACACGAGAAGGAUUGACAGAUUGAUAGCUCUUUCUUGUUUUCGUGGGUGGUGGUGCAUGGUCGUUCUUAGUUGGUGGAGUGAUUUGUCUGGUUAAUUCCGAUAACGAACGAGACCUCAAUCUGCUUAAUAGGCGGGCAACGGGCUUCUUGCUCGAUGCCUAUUAGCCUUCUUAGAGAGACUACCUAAGUUGCAUUAGGGGGAAGCAUGAGGCAAUAACAGGUCUGUGAUGCCCUUAGAUGUCCUGGGCUGCACGCGCGCUACACUGAUGCAGUCAACAAGUUUGUUCAAGCCCGAAAGGGCAAGAUAAUCUUUUCAAACUGCAUCGUGCUGGGGAUUGAUCUUUGUAAUUUUGGAUCAUGAACGAGGAAUACCUAGUAAGUGCAAUUCACCAGAUUGCGCUGAUUACGUCCCUGCCCUUUGUACACACCGCCCGUCGCUCCUACCGAUUGAAUGAUCAGACAAAAUGCUUGGAUUGUGCGUUUGUGGAUGCUUCUGUGUUUACGAAUGUGCGAGAAGAGUAGUAAAUCUUAUUAUUUAGA